UACAUAGGGGGCAAGCGUUAUCCGGAAUUAUUGGGCGUAAAGGGUGCGUAGACGGAGAAACAAGUUGGUUGUGAAAUCCCUCGGCUCAACCGAGGAACUGCAACCAAAACUAUUUCCCUUGAGUGUCGGAGAGGAAAGUGGAAUUUCUAGUGUAGCGGUGAAAUGCGUAGAUAUUAGGAGGAACACCAGUGGCGAAGGCGACUUUCUGGACGAUAACUGACGUUGAGGCACGAAAGUGUGGGGAGCAAACAGG
rnacentral:rRNA from 1 species